rnacentral:rRNA from 1 species
UACGUAGGGUGCAAGCGUUAAUCGGAAUUACUGGGCGUAAAGCGUGCGCAGGCGGUUCGCUAAGACAGAUGUGAAACUCCCCGGGCUUAACCUGGGAACUGCAUUUGUGACUGGCGGGCUAGAGUAUGGCAGGAGGGGGUAGAAUUCCACGUGUAGCAGUGAAAUGCGUAGAGAUGUGGAGGAAUACCGAUGGCCGAAGGCAGCCCCCUGGGCCAAUACUGACGCUCAUGGCACGAAAGCGUGGGGAGCAAACAGG